UAGGGAAUCUUCCACAAUGGACGCAAGUCUGAUGGAGCAACGCCGCGUGAGUGAAGAAGGUUUUCGGACCGUAAAGCUCUGUUGUUGGUGAAGAAGGAUAGAGGUAGUAACUGGCCUUUAUUUGACGGUAAUCAACCAGAAAGUCACGGCUAACUACGUGCCAGCAGCCGCGGUAAUACGUAGGUGGCAAGCGUUGUCCGGAUUUAUUGGGCGUAAAGCGAGCGCAGGCGGAAGAAUAAGUCUGAUGUGAAAGCCCUCGGCUUAACCGAGGAAUUGCAUCGGAAACCGUUUUCUUGAGUGCAGAAGAGGAGAGUAGAACUCCAUGUGUAGCGGUGGAAUGCGUAGAUAUAUGGAAGAAUACCAGUGGCGAAGGCGGCUCUCUGGUCUGCAACUGACGCUGAGGCUCGAAAGCAUGGGUAGCGAACAGGAUUAGAUACCCUGGUAGUCCAUGCCGUAAACGAUGAGUGCUAAGUGUUGGGAGGCUUCCGCCUCUCAGUGCUGCAGCUAACGCAUUAAGCACUCCGCCUGGGGGAGUACGACCGCAAGGUUGAAAC
rnacentral:rRNA from 1 species